rnacentral:rRNA from 1 species
GAUGAACGCUGGCGGCGUGCCUAAUACAUGCAAGUCGAGCGAAUGGAUUAAGAGCUUGCUCUUAUGAAGUUAGCGGCGGACGGGUGAGUAACACGUGGGUAACCUGCCCAUAAGACUGGGAUAACUCCGGGAAACCGGGGCUAAUACCGGAUAACAUUUUGAACCGCAUGGUUCGAAAUUGAAAGGCGGCUUCGGCUGUCACUUAUGGAUGGACCCGCGUCGCAUUAGCUAGUUGGUGAGGUAACGGCUCACCAAGGCAACGAUGCGUAGCCGACCUGAGAGGGGGAUCGGCCAAACUGGGACGGAGACACGGCCCAGACUCCUACAGGAGGCAGCAGUAGGGAAUCUUCCGCAAUGGACGAAAGUCUGACGGAGCAACGCCGCGUGAGUGAUGAAGGCUUUCGGGUCGUAAAACUCUGUUGUUAGGGAAGAACAAGUGCUAGUUGAAUAAGCUGGCACCUUGACGGUACCUAACCAGAAAGUCACGGCUAACUACGUGCCAGCCGCCGCCGUAA